GAUGAACGCUGGCGGCGUGCCUAAUACAUGCAAGUAGAACGCUGAAGCUUGGUGCUUGCACCGAGCGGAUGAGUUGCGAACGGGUGAGUAACGCGUAGGUAACCUGCCUCUUAGCGGGGGAUAACUAUUGGAAACGAUAGCUAAUACCGCAUAAAAGUCGAUAUCGCAUGAUGUUGAUUUGAGAGGUGCAAUUGCAUCACUAAGAGAUGGACCUGCGUUGUAUUAGCUAGUUGGUGAGGUAACGGCUCACCAAGGCGACGAUACAUAGCCGACCUGAGAGGGUGAUCGGCCACACUGGGACUGAGACACGGCCCAGACUCCUACGGGAGGCAGCAGUAGGGAAUCUUCGGCAAUGGGGGCAACCCUGACCGAGCAACGCCGCGUGAGUGAAGAAGGUUUUCGGAUCGUAAAGCUCUGUUGUAAGAGAAGAACGAGUGUGAGAGUGGAAAGUUCACACUGUGACG
rnacentral:rRNA from 1 species